rnacentral:rRNA from 1 species
GAUGAACGCUGGCGGCGUGCCUAAUACAUGCAAGUCGAGCGAACGGACGAGAAGCUUGCUUCUCUGAUGUUAGCGGCGGACGGGUGAGUAACACGUGGAUAACCUACCUAUAAGACUGGGAUAACUUCGGGAAACCGGAGCUAAUACCGGAUGAUAUUUUGAACCGCAUGGUUCAAAAGUGAAAGACGGUCUUGCUGUCACUUAUAGAUGGAUCCGCGCUGCAUUAGCUAGUUGGUAAGGUAACGGCUUACCAAGGCAACGAUGCAUAGCCGACCUGAGAGGGUGAUCGGCCACACUGGAACUGAGACACGGUCCAGACUCCUACGGGAGGCAGCAGUAGGGAAUCUUCCGCAAUGGGCGAAAGCCUGACGGAGCAACGCCGCGUGAGUGAUGAAGGUCUUCGGAUCGUAAAACUCUGUUAUUAGGGAAGAACAUAUGUGUAAGUAACUGUGCACAUCUUGACGGUACCUAAUCAGAAAGCCACGGCUAACUACGUGCCAGCAGCCGCGGUAAUACGUAGGUGGCAAGCGUUAUCCGGAAUUAUUGGGCGUAAAGCGCGCGUAGGCGGUUUUUUAAGUCUGAUGUGAAAGCCCACGGCUCAACCGUGGAGGGUCAUUGGAAACUGGAAAACUUGAGUGCAGAAGAGGAAAGUGGAAUUCCAUGUGUAGCGGUGAAAUGCGCAGAGAUAUGGAGGAACACCAGUGGCGAAGGCGACUUUCUGGUCUGUAACUGACGCUGAUGUGCGAAAGCGUGGGGAUCAAACAGGAUUAGAUACCCUGGUAGUCCACGCCGUAAACGAUGAGUGCUAAGUGUUAGGGGGUUUCCGCCCCUUAGUGCUGCAGCUAACGCAUUAAGCACUCCGCCUGGGGAGUACGACCGCAAGGUUGAAACUCAAAGGAAUCGACGGGGACCCGCACAAGCGGUGGAGCAUGUGGUUUAAUUCGAAGCAACGCGAAGAACCUUACCAAAUCUUGACAUCCUUUGACAACUCUAGAGAUAGAGCCUUCCCCUUCGGGGGACAAAGUGACAGGUGGUGCAUGGUUGUCGUCAGCUCGUGUCGUGAGAUGUUGGGUUAAGUCCCGCAACGAGCGCAACCCUUAAGCUUAGUUGCCAUCAUUAAGUUGGGCACUCUAAGUUGACUGCCGGUGACAAACCGGAGGAAGGUGGGGAUGACGUCAAAUCAUCAUGCCCCUUAUGAUUUGGGCUACGCACGUGCUACAAUGGACAAUACAAAGGGCAGCGAAACCGCGAGGUCAAGCAAAUCCCAUAAAGUUGUUCUCAGUUCGGAUUGUAGUCUGCAACUCGACUACAUGAAGCUGGAAUCGCUAGUAAUCGUAGAUCAGCAUGCUACGGUGAAUACGUUCCCGGGUCU